rnacentral:lncRNA from 1 species
UGGUUGGGGGGCUGGGCGGAGCCGAGCGGUGAUGGCGCCUCAGGCGGUGCCGGGGCGUGAGGGCGGCGUUCCCGAGAGCUGUGGUGGGCGGCAGCGGUGCUUGAGCUGGCCUGGCCUGGGAGCUGCGGCUGUUUUACUCACGGGACGAAAUAAAGUCUGCCGUGGGUGAAGCACUGUAGCACCCCGUGCCCUGAUGCCCUUCCUUGGGCAGCUGCGCACAGCGGCUGACUUGAAUCGGUUCUCAUAACGGGGCUUCCCUUGGUGCCGUCUGCAGGUUUUCACUGCAGUCCGCAUAGAUCUACGCCAGUAGCAAAUUUACUUGCUAAGGGCUAUAUUUAGAGGUGUUUAUUUGGAGGGUGAAGAAGCCUGCUGCUUAUGCCUCAUUAUGCAGAGCUUAACCUUGAGCUUUAAAGUGCGGGCAUUGGGACAGUGCAGGUGUUUGAUGGCAGUGUCUCUGCUCUGUGGGAGCUGCAGGGCAAAGUGCCAGGUGACUCAGUGGCAAAGCAGUCUUUUCACUCGGAAAAGCGACGCUCUGUGCAGAAGUGUUCUGGAAGAGAUAUUUUACAGAUUGGCAUGGCUGUGGCGGGAGGAUUGGAGAGCACUUUCACUGUAGCUCUGCCUAAAACAAGUCAACCGAGCACUAUUCUGGGGAGUGGGACAUCCAGAUUUAAUCCCCACAAACUGCUAGAAGUAAGAACAUGGUUGUUUGCAGCAGGGUUAUCCAGCUAGCGAACAUCAGCUCCUUCAUGGUAAGUCUGGUCUGUAUACUUCUGCUGCAGAUAUGAGGACAAGCUACCUCAGAUUCCUUUGCACUUCCCACAGAGAACACCAUGCAUGAAGGCAGCUACUGCAGAACAGCUGACAUCCAGUAGCUUCUUACCUUGUCACCGCCAUCUGUUCUCUUCAUUUUAAGUAACAACCACACAGUGAGCCAGCUCAGGGAGCUAAUUCAGCUGAAAACCAGUAAUUUUUUCUUUCUUUCUUUUUUUUUUUUUAAAAUCAAGACAGCCUCAGUCACACUCUUGGAAUAAUUGAAUUCAUGGCUGCACAAGCACAGCUGCUGCAGCAGGGGAAGGAUGAGCUGCAGGUUCUGGGGACAGAAUGUCAGGAAAUGACAUUUUAAAUGACAAAAUAUCUCAAAGCAAACAGUAAAAGGAGGCAUUAGCAUGUAAUCUAAUUAUGAUCUUGUAUCUGUGUUUGACUUUUCUAAGUGAUAAAAGGAAAUCUUGAUUCAUCAGAACUGAAUGCUGUUCCAGAGAUACCACCUACUAAAAGUACCAAAAUCUUGGCUUCAUAAAGCAUUCUGAUAUUUAUUAAAGCAGCACCAGCUGUUCACUAGCUGACAGGUAAACAUGUAACACUUCACUUCUUAAGAAGAUGCUUUGCUAUGUCGUGUCAGAUAGGCAUUAAAUACUGAUUCAUUACGGAGAGGUUACUCCUGUGUGCUUUCCCUGAGGCUGGGGCCUG